rnacentral:rRNA from 1 species
CCUACGGUGAGCAGCAGUCGAGAAUCAUUCACAAUGGGGGAAACCCUGAUGGUGCGACGCCGCGUGGGGGAAUGAAGGUCUUCGGAUUGUAAACCCCUGUCAUGUGGGAGCAAAUUAAAAAGAUAGUACCACAAGAGGAAGAGACGGCUAACUCUGUGCCAGCAGCCGCGGUAAUACAGAGGUCUCAAGCGUUGUUCGGAAUCACUGGGCGUAAAGCGUGCGUAGGCUGUUUCGUAAGUCGUGUGUGAAAGGCGCGGGCUCAACCCGCGGACGGCACAUGAUACUGCGAGAAUAGAGUAAUGGAGGGGGAACCGGAAUUCUCGGUGUAGCAGUGAAAUGCGUAGAUAUCGAGAGGAACACUCGUGGCGAAGGCGGGUUCCUGGACAUUAACUGACGCUGAGGCACGAAGGCCAGGGGAGCGAAAGGGAUUAGAUACCCGGGUAGUC